GACGAACGCUGGCGGCGUGCCUAAUACAUGCAAGUAGAACGCUGAAGAGAGGAGCUUGCUCUUCUUGGAUGAGUUGCGAACGGGUGAGUAACGCGUAGGUAACCUGCCUUGUAGCGGGGGAUAACUAUUGGAAACGAUAGCUAAUACCGCAUAACAAUGGAUGACACAUGUCAUUUAUUUGAAAGGGGCAAUUGCUCCACUACAAGAUGGACCUGCGUUGUAUUAGCUAGUAGGUGAGGUAACGGCUCACCUAGGCGACGAUACAUAGCCGACCUGAGAGGGUGAUCGGCCACACUGGGACUGAGACACGGCCCAGACUCCUACGGGAGGCAGCAGUAGGGAAUCUUCGGCAAUGGGGGCAACCCUGACCGAGCAACGCCGCGGGAGUGAAGAAGGGUUUCGGAUCGUAAAGCUCUGUUGUAAGUCAAGAACGAGUGUGAGAGUGGAAAGUUCACACUGUGACGGUAGCUUACCAGAAAGGGACGGCUAACUACGUG
rnacentral:rRNA from 1 species